CAGUAGCCACGGGAAUACGAAGGGGGCUAGCGUUGCUCGGAAUGACUGGGCGUAAAGGGCGCGUAGGCGGAUUGCGCAGUCAGAUGUGAAAUUCCUGGGCUUAACCUGGGGGCUGCAUUUGAGACGCGUAGUCUAGAGUGUGAAAGAGGGUCGUGGAAUUCCCAGUGUAGAGGUGAAAUUCGUAGAUAUUGGGAAGAACACCGGUGGCGAAGGCGGCGACCUGGUUCAUAACUGACGCUAAGGCGCGAAAGCGUGGGGAGCAAACAGGAUUAGAUACCCGCGUAGUCCCUGUCUCUUAUAC
rnacentral:rRNA from 1 species